GAAUCUGGCAAGAACUUGGUUCUGUGAUCUGUGUGGAACUAGCCGCAUUUGUUGCUUCACAUCACAGUCUGAGUUCUUGCUCGACGG
rnacentral:pre_miRNA from 1 species